rnacentral:lncRNA from 1 species
GAGACGGUUUUUCACAAGUUAUGAAAUUGGAUGUGCCAUACAACAUGCUCUUCAGCUGGUCGGAAAACGAAAGUAUUUUUUCAAGGCCUGGCUGACUGUUGUGUCAUCUUCUACAUGGACUUGUGGGCCCACAGCUGAAUGGGAGGCAGAGAGAUGCAAAAAGUGAGCUGAGUGGCAGGAGGACUAAUUCCUGUCCUCUCUUUAUUGCCAUGGGAUUCGCUUUCAAUCCUCACUCUUCAGGCUUUCUCCAUAUUUACGUGCUUGUAACUCUGGCAUGACCUUUGCUCCAGUCUCUACC